rnacentral:rRNA from 1 species
CCUACGGGUGGCAGCAGUGAGGAAUAUUGGUCAAUGGGCGGGAGACUGAACCAGCCAAGCCGCGUGAGGGAUGAAGGUACAGAGUAUGGUAAACCUCUUUUGUCAGGGAACAAAGGCGGGGACGUGUCCCCGGAUGAGUGUACCUGACGAAAAAGCAUCGGCUAACUCCGUGCCAGCAGCCGCGGUAAUACGGAGGAUGCGAGCGUUAUCCGGAUUUAUUGGGUUGAAAGGGUGUGCAGGGGGUCUGUUAAGUCAGCGGCAAAAGCCCGGGGCACAACCCCGGCCCGCCGUUGAAACUGGCAGUCUCGAGUUGGAGAGAAGUAUGCGGAAUGCGCGGUGUAGCGGUGAAAUGCAUAGAUAUCGCGCAGAACUCCGAUUGCGAAGGCAGCAUGCCGGCUCCACACUGACGCUGAGGCACGAAAGCGUGGGUAUCGAACAGGAUUAGAUACCCCUGUAGUC